rnacentral:ncRNA from 1 species
CGGCCUGAGGUCGGACGAGGCUACCCGCUGAAUUUAAGCAUAUUACUAAGCGGAGGAAAAGAAACUAACGAGGAUUCCCUCAGUAACGGCGAGUGAAGCGGGACGAGCCCAGCGCCGAAUCCGGCCGCUUAGGAGCGGACGGA